rnacentral:sRNA from 1 species
GCUGGGCAUGGUGGCACAUGCCUGUGAUCCCAGCAACUCAGGAGGCUGAGGCAGGAGGAUCACAAGUUCGAGGCCAGCCUCAGCAAUUUAGUGAGGCCCUAAGCAACUUAGUGAGACCCUGUCUCAA